rnacentral:rRNA from 1 species
UACGAAGGGUGCAAGCGUUACUCGGAAUUACUGGGCGUAAAGCGUGCGUAGGUGGUUCGUUAAGUCUGAUGUGAAAGCCCUGGGCUCAACCUGGGAAUGGCAUUGGAAACUGGCGACCUAGAGUGCGGUAGAGGGUAGUGGAAUUCCCGGUGUAGCAGUGAAAUGCGUAGAGAUCGGGAGGAACAUCCGUGGCGAAGGCGACUACCUGGACCGAAACUGACGCUGAUGCGCGAAAGCCAGGGGAGCAAACGGG